rnacentral:rRNA from 1 species
GAUGAACGCUGGCGGCGUGCCUAAUACAUGCAAGUCGAACGCUGGAACUCUAGCUUGCUAGCUUGAAGGAGUGGCGAACGGGUGAGUAAUACAUAAGCAACCUACCCACGAAGACUGGGAUAAUCUCUGGAAACGGGGACUAAUACCGGAUAGGUAAUCGGAAGGCAUCUUCUGAUUAUUAAAGGUUAAAAACACUGGUGGAUGGGCUUAUGGCGCAUUAGUUAGUUGGUGAGGUAACGGCCCACCAAGACGAUGAUGCGUAGCCGGCCUGAGAGGGUGAACGGCCACAUUGGGACUGAGACACGGCCCAGACUCCUACGGGAGGCAGCAGUAGGGAAUUUUCGGCAAUGGGGGAAACCCUGACCGAGCAACGCCGCGUGAGUGAUGACGGCCUUCGGGUUGUAAAGCUCUGUUGUAAGGGAAGAACGGUAGAUAGAGAAUAUCUAAAUGACGGUACCUUACCAGAAAGCCACGGCUAACUACGUG